AUUAUGUGGUUAAUGCACAAUAUAUUGCCCAAGAAUUCCAUUGGCGCACCAUCUAGGAAACGGAUUAGCUAUUUAUCAUAAACCUUUGACUCUUGGUUAAAAAAAACUUGUCUACUCCAAGAAUAACUCUUCUACUCGAUGAGACCCACCUAUCGUCUGGAAGAUAUUUUUGAAAUUGCAGAAGAGAAAAUCAAAAAAGCAGGUUUUUCAUGGACUCCUGGAAAGAAUAUCUGUUAUUCUGGGUGUGAGGGAUUUUAAUCAUUUUUAUGCAUUUUUUCAUGUAAUAUUUGUUCUUUAUAUAGAAAAAGCACAAUUAUUCAAAGUACCUUUAAUGUACUACUAAGACGUAAUUAUCAACUGAAAGCAACAACUUCAAUAAGCCUGGACUCCUUCUUUUUUUUUCGUCAGGUCAGUGUGUGUUUUACCUCCAAAGGAGGUGUCCAUAUACAGCGGGAGCAGGAGAUCUGCCCCUCUCCGGCUGACAAUGCUGGCAAAGGAUCAUGGGGUGUCUUGUUAGUUUCAUCUGCAGCUGGAAUAUACAUCGAGCUUAACCUUGACAGACAAGAGACAAAAUUGAAUACACAAUAUCGGUUGCAUUUUACUCACACUGUAUCAAAAUGAACUAUUUCUGUGAAUAAUUAUUAAAAAAAAAAACAGGGUUAUCUGUAAUGGUACUGUACAUAGUUUAUGUUAAUGGUUAAAAUCUUGUUAUAUUACAAUAAAUA